rnacentral:rRNA from 1 species
UACGGAGGGUGCAAGCGUUAAUCGGAAUUACUGGGCGUAAAGCGUGCGCAGGCUGUUUGUUUAGUCCGCUGUGAAAUCCCCGAGCUCAACUUGGGAAUUGCAGUGGAUACUGGCAAGCUGGAGUAUGGUAGAGGAAGGUGGAAUUCCCGGUGUAGCAGUGAAAUGCGUAGAGAUCGGGAGGAACACCAGUGGCGAAGGCGGCCUUCUGGACCAAUACUGACGCUCAUGCACGAAAGCGUGGGGAGCAAACAGG